GGAGAACCAUGUACAGCUCCUUGGAGGAAAAUGGUGGGACAAAAUGCAGUGGAUAAAAAUACGGUGGUGCCCCGCAAGACGAAUGCCUCGCAAGACGGAAAACCCGCUAGACGAAAGGGUUUUCCGUUUUGGAGGUGCUUCGCAAAACGAAUUUCCUAUGUGCUUGCUUCGCAAGAUGAAAAUGUCUUGCGAGUUCCUGCGGGGGUUUUUUCCUCCCCCCCCCCCUUUUUCCCAAGCCGCUAAACCGCUUACCAGCUGAUGGCUAAGCCGCUUAUCAGCUGAUCCGCUAAGCCCGCUAAGCCGCUAAUACUGUAGCGCUAAUCCGCUAAACCGCUAAUGGGCUUGCUUCGCAAGACGAAAAAACCCGCAAGACGAAGAAACUCGCGGAACGGAUUCUUUUCGUCUUGCGAGGCACCACUGUAAGUCCCCCAUCUCACCCUCCUUGGCUUCAUUUCAAUAGAGGAGGAGGGAGACGGGGCCUCUGGAGUUGCACUAGAACAGAAGUGUGGCUUAGUGGUUAGAGUGUCAGACUGGGAGGCCAGAGUUCGAAUUCCCACUAAGUCAUGAAGCUCACAGGUGACCCAGGGCCGGUCGCCGUCUAGCCUACCUCACAGGGUUGUUGUGAGAAUGAAAUGAAGUCUGUGGGGAACUGUGUGUGCCCACCUUGAGCUCCUUUGGAGGAAAAGUAGGAUAUAACCCUGGGAGCUUUAAGUGUUGUGGGAGUUGUAACUUUGUGAGGGGC